GCCAGAGAGGUCACGCCACAUGUGUAUAGUACAAUUUCACAUGUGACAAUGCCAAUUGAAAUUUACAUAAACUUAAAACAUUAGCUUAAGAGUUGAAGACAUGUCCCAUGUUCACUUUGGCUUAUCUCUUCAAUAUCUCCUUGAUUUUGAUUUUGCAAUUGCUUGGUUGCUAGGAGACACUCGCAGACAGCCACAUGAACUCCCAAUGACCCAUAUGUUCCUUUAGGGUCCAGAUAAAGAUUAGGAGUAAUAAAAACCCACAUUCCUCUUUCUACAUGUACAAGUCAAUUCUGUUUGUGCUGGUUUUAUUUACUUUGUAAGUGUGACAAAAAUAACCACAAGAGACUGUGUUAACGCCUACAAAGAUAAAACAAGAAACGAGUUUAUAUAUAAUAUAUCCAUAGGAGACUAUUUAAACGUUCAUCGAGUUAUUUGCGUGUUUUUCUAAAAAAAUAUAUCACGCAAAAGAUUAGUUUUCUCAACAUAUCAAUUAUAUAUAUACAAGUUUUGAAGAUUUAUUUAGCGUGUGGGGGGGUAUAUUCUUGAUUUACUUCAACUCUCAAUGAAUACUAAAAGGGACAUACUGGCUCCGAGUUCAUUUGACUACUUUGUUCGAAAACUUUUAUUGAUAUCAAUAAGUUUCGUACGUUUUCAGGAAAUUGAGAUCUGGUGAUGCCUGAGAGUCCAGGGAUAGAGAUCAUUAUAUGUUUUGAGACUUUCCAUAUAUAUACGAAAACAAAUAGCUAAAAGACUUAUUUGAUUCCGAAGCAGUUAAAAUAUUGUCUGAUUGAUGAAAUUGACCAAUAAAGAUAAAUAAGAUUCUCUUUCUUACGAUGGGAACUAAGAAGAUCGUCCUGAAAACGGAUGCGACGGGAAGAAGUGGCAUUUGUAAGUGUUGCUGACUUCAGUAAAUAAAAAACAGAACCACACCGAUUGCAUCUGAAAAAUCUUAGAAGCGUCGUGCAUUAUUGAUAAAUAUAAAAUUAUACUAAACGAGAUACAUACCAAAACAUGAAUAUAUGAUUGAGAAUAGAAGAUACAAAACUAGGCCUUCUCAUGUGGUAGACCUUACUUCAGUGAGACUGUGUUUAGGAGAAAGCAUGUACCUCUAUUAAUGACACAUAUAUUAGUAUAUAUUGCAAAUGGUUUUUCCUAAAGUAUAACACAUAACACAUACAAUAUAAACAAUUGUUUUCUGGCCACGCAAUUAAACCUAAUAAAUGCUAAGUGGGAGGAAUCCCCAUCAGCAAGAAAACUCAUUAUUAUUGAAAAUUAAAAUUUUCAUAAGAUAUGUUUGCCAAAAACAGAUACGAAGGACUACGUCCAGUAAUGCUAAAUUUGUUAGUGUAGCCAAAUGAAAUGCGU
rnacentral:lncRNA from 1 species